UUUUUCAUAUUAUGCCGACUUUAAAUUUGACUCGCUCGCGAAUCACGAUUAUUUGAAAUUUGAACAAAAAAUACAGACAACAGAACAGUCGUACAGAUUUCUAUUCAUACAUUUUAAUAUAAAACCACCAUGGAUAAGUGUAUUCUUUUCAGUAAAACAUCCAAAGUAUCGUCUCGCCACAUUACGUACAUUUUCAUUUGUAAGUAUUAUUUUCUGGUUGUAAUGAUUAUAUUUCUUAAUAAUAUGGAGUCAGUCUAAUUUGCUAAUUUGUUCACAAACAUAGAUUUCCGAAAAAUCAAUGAAAUAGAAAGAAACGGUGGCUAAAAAUGUUCGAAUUAAAUGAUUGUCGCAAUAAUUUCUACAUGACAUAGAAUCUGCGGCAGGUAAUCAUUUCACAAUAAUUAGUGAUGGUAAACAAUGCUCAGUAAAUUAUUAAACACGGUGUCAGAGGCUGUCUCAAAACAUAAUCCAAAUCACUUGUCUGGGAUAGAGAAGUAAAAUAAAUGUUAGUGAUUCACGGCAAUAUUGGUACUACUCUGCGCACGACUAGUAAAUCGCAUCUAAGAGAAAAUUUAGUUUCUCCAACGAUGAGCUAGAAGUAAAUGAACAGACGAAUAAAGGAUUUAGAGGCCAUGAUUUUAAUUCACUCAGAAAAGCCUUGGAUACCCAAUAAUGUCUAAUUCACACACACUUAUUUCACACAGGGGAUUAUACUCAUAAUGUUUUUCAAAACUGAAAUAUAUUAUGAUAUGUACCACAUACAAGGAACCGGGAAGUGGAGCCAAUGCACUGACAAAUUUUCAGACGUUGACUUUCUUGGAGAUAAUUCUACCGACUCAGAUGAAGCCAUACAAUAUUUGAGAGAAUUAUGAAACUUAAAGGUAAUACAAUUUUGCUGACCAAGAAUCCAAUUUUAACAACGCAGAGGGCCUCAACAUAUUUAAAUUGCAAAGAAACACAUAACUAGUUUGGACAUUGGCAUCUUUUCUGAUGCAAAAGUGCAUCUAGUUGGAUGCGUUAAACAGGUCGUCAAGCCCGUUCCCAUUGACAACGAGGAAGGACAAACUUGUUUGAAAAAGAGUAUGCAAUUACCAAAAAGCUUCAGUGGCUGUUAUUAAAAUUCUUCAACUAUCGACAAUGGACAUGAUUGAUGAAGACUUUUAAACUAGGUAUAUUCUGAUAGGUACCUAUUUCCUUUAAUCUGUGUACUUAUUUUACCUAUGUUUCCCCCCCACCACCCAUCAGAAAGUAAUUAGUUAGUUUAUUUAACAAAAGAAAACUGUACUUACUCACUGUGUUUGUGAAUAAAAUUAUUUUGUCAAUGACUAAUUUAAGAAAACUUUAUUUGUAUAAUGAAAAAAGAAUAGUAGGUUCCUAUAUUUAAAAUCAUUAUAAAUUACACUAUCAUACUUUUAAUAUAUUUGUCGU